UACCAAGUUUUUCAUCGAGAACAGGUUGAGGGAUUCCUUGGAACAAUUUAAAGAGGGCCUGGAGUGUCUUGGGCUUUUACAUUUGAUGCAAAAGCAUCCUCAGCUCUUUAAAGAAGUAUUUAUGUAUGAGGAGAAGCCACUUUUGGCCGAAGACAUAUCUGCUUUGUUUAAAGCAGAACUUUCUCCAGUUGGCAGCAACAGGAGAGUAGUGGAGAGUAGAACAAUCUGUUUCUGGAGGGACUGGCUCAUAGAAGUGGAAGAAGGAACUGCAUAUCCCCUCACCUUAGACAAGAUUCUUGGAUUUGUGUCAGGAUCUACUGCUAUUCCGAGGCUAGGGUUCCCAGUGGAACCCAAAUUGGAGUUCUUACACCCUCAAGAGAAUGAGGCCCCUAAAAUUUUUCCAGAGGCAAAUACCUGCAGCAUUGUCUUGAGGCUACCAAUCCAUCCCAGCUAUGAACUCUUCAGAGAAAACAUGGAAAGUGGUAUUUUGCAAUCCCCCACUUUUGGAGUGAUGUAGAAAAAUUGUGUUGGCUGUUACUGAUGUAAUAGUUUUAAAUAUUUUCAUGUUUUAAAGUUUUAUUAUGAAACAUGAAGAGCUAAAUUGGCACACCACUGCUCUAAGAGUAGAAAAAUAUUUAUAUUCUCACCAAAAGUGACAUUUCAAGCCUACAAGCUCUUCAUCAGACAAUGAUCACAUACAUCAAACUAGAGUGACAUGAUCACCCACAUGACCCCCCGCCCCCCAAACCGAAUGGCAAUCAGAUAAAGGCAAUAAACAUAAAAGUGAAAACAACCAUUAACUACAAAUGCUGAACCUCAACAUAUUAAAAAAAAAAAAAUACUUGCAAAAUAUACAUAAAAGAACAAUACUUUAUCUCUCACAAAAAUCAUUAAAUAAAAUGCCUGAUGUUAAGAAAACAAUCAACAUCAAGAUAGAAUCAAAUGUAAAUUUGAUUCUAUAAUUUAUGUAUACUUUACAGCUAUUUUUUUUAUAUAGGCUUAGGUUCAGAAUUUGUAGUUAGUGGUUGUAUUCACUUUUAGGUUUGUUUAUUGCCUUUAUGUGAGGUGAUUUCCUGAUUGCCCUUUUUUGGAUCAUGUGGGUGAUCAUGUCAUUCAGGUUUGUGCUAUAUAUAAAACCUGAACUAUGUAUGUGUUCAUUGUCUAAUGAAGAGCUUGUAGGCUCGGAAUGUCACCUUUGAUGAGAACAUAAUACUUUUGGAGCUGUGGUGUGCCAAAUUUCUUCUUAGUUUUAGGUAUUUACGUGGUUGAGCACUCACAUUAAGCCCUUCAGCCUGUUGGAUGUGUGCACUUCGAUUAUCUAAAGUUAUACAAUGGACAUUUCAUCAUACAGUUCUACUACAGCUUUUUGAUGUUUGUAGGGGUUGCUAAGUUUUGUCCCUUUCUCCAGUUCUGCUCUGUCUUGGGAUAUCUGAUAAGAAUCCACAUCUGAAAGUAUUCAGAUUAUACUACAAAUUAAUGAAAUUUACAUCACAAUUACAAUAAAAAGUUGUUUAUUAA